CGCGGCCUAUCAGCUUGUUGGUGAGGUAACGGCUCACCAAGGCAUCGACGGGUAGCUGGUCUGAGAGGACGAUCAGCCACACUGGGACUGAGACACGGCCCAGACUCCUACGGGAGGCAGCAGUAGGGAAUCUUGCGCAAUGGGCGAAAGCCUGACGCAGCAACGCCGCGUGGGGGAUGAAUGCCUUCGGGUUGUAAACCCCUUUCAGCAGGGACGAAAAUGACGGUACCUGCAGAAGAAGCUCCGGCCAACUACGUGCCAGCAGCCGCGGUAAUACGUAGGGAGCGAGCGUUGUCCGGAAUUAUUGGGCGUAAAGAGCUCGUAGGCGGUUCAGUAAGUCGGGUGUGAAAACUCAAGGCUCAACCUUGAGACGCCACUCGAUACUGCUGUGACUUGAGUCCGGUAGGGGAGUGUGGAAUUCCUGGUGUAGCGGUGAAAUGCGCAGAUAUCAGGAGGAACACCAGCGGCGAAGGCGGCACUCUGGGCCGGUACUGACGCUGAGGAGCGAAAGCAUGGGGAGCAAACAGGAUUAGAUACCCUGGUAGUCCAUGCCGUAAACGUUGGGCACUAGGUAUGGGAUCAUAUCAACGGAUUCCGUGCCGUAGCUAACGCAUUAAGUGCCCCGCCUGGGGAGUACGG
rnacentral:rRNA from 1 species